CAGUAGCCGCGGUAAUACGGAGGGGGCUAGCGUUGUUCGGAAUUACUGGGCGUAAAGCGUGCGUAGGCGGUUCGUUAAGUCGGUUGUGAAAGCCCUGGGCUCAACCUGGGAAUUGCAGUCGAUACUGGCGAGCUAGAGAACGGUAGAGGGAGGCGGAACUCCAGGUGUAGCGGUGAAAUGCGUAGAUAUCUGGAAGAACACCGAUGGCGAAGGCAACCUCCUGGGCCUGUUCUGACGCUGAGGCACGAAAGCGUGGGUAGCAAACAGGAUUAGAUACCCCUGUAGUCCCUGUCUCUUAUAA
rnacentral:rRNA from 1 species